UACGGAGGGUGCAAGCGUUAUCCGGAUUCACUGGGUUUAAAGGGUGCGUAGGUGGGCAAGUAAGUCAGUGGUGAAAUCUUCGGGCUUAACCCGGAAACUGCCAUUGAUACUAUUUGUCUUGAAUACUGUGGAGGUCAGCGGAAUAUGUCAUGUAGCGGUGAAAUGCUUAGAUAUGACAUAGAACACCAAUUGCGAAGGCAGCUGGCUACACAAAUAUUGACACUGAGGCACGAAAGCGUGGGGAUCAAACAGG
rnacentral:rRNA from 1 species